rnacentral:rRNA from 1 species
GGAGUCUAGCAUGUGCGCAAGUCAUUGGGAAAUAACUAAACCUAAAGGCGCAAUGAAAGUAACGGGAAAAUUUAUUUUUCUCGAGGGAAGAUGGGUGUCGCUUCGGCGGCGCCCCGCAUUCCCGGGGCGUCUCACACUCAUUACGAGUAGAGGCGCACCAAGAGCGUACACGCUGGGACCCGAAAGAUGGUGAACUAUGCCUGGUCAGGACGAAGUCAGGGGAAACCCUGAUGGAGGUCCGUAGCGAUUCUGACGUGCAAAUCGAUCGUCGGAACUGGGUAUAGGGGCGAAAGACUAAUCGAACCAUCUAGUAGCUGGUUCCCUCCGAAGUUUCCCUCAGGAUAGCUGGCGCUCGUUGUUCAAGAGUCUCAUCCGGUAAAGCGAAUGAUUAGAGGCAUUGGGGUCGAAACGGCCUCAACCUAUUCUCAAACUUUAAAUGGGUGAGAACUUCGGCUUGCUCGAACUAUUGAAGCCGUAAGAAACGGAUCAGAGUGCCAAGUGGGCCAUUUUUGGUAAGCAGAACUGGCGCUGUGGGAUGAACCAAACGUUGAGUUAAAGCGCCUAAAUCAACGCUUAUGGGAUACCAUGAAAGGCGUUGGUAACUUAAGACAGCAGGACGGUGGCCAUGGAAGUC